rnacentral:lncRNA from 1 species
AAAAAAAAUAAAUAAAAUUCAUCCAUUAUAUUAUUGAUGUGAUGUUCUCAACGAAUGAGAUUAUUUCCUCUGUCUCAUCAUGAUUAUUAAAGAAAAGAUAUUUUAUUGUAUUUUUUAUUUAAAAGAAAAGAUAUGAUUUGCUAUUAAUAAAUGACGCGGUAUUAAUAAAUGACGCGGUAUGACUGAUACAUAGUAGAAUCUCGUGUGUGGAAAUUGAAUGGAACC